UGGGAACUCCACUUCCAUUUGAACUCCAUGUUGACUGACUCAACUUCCUCAAAAAUUACUCUUUGGGGUCUGGGCUGUUCAAUCUGGACUGCAAAAAGCAAACAUACUUGCCUGUUUGUAAUUCACUUCUACUAUCAGCCUAUGGGAUCAAGUCCACCCUCCUGAGUCUGGCCAAUUCUCCCCUUCCAACCUCAUUCUCCAUCUCUCCCAAACUGGAAGCAGGACUUGGCAGCGGUUGGGACCAAUGGCUUUGGAUUCAUGAGGCCUCAGCUCACAUUACAGCUUCAACACUUACCAGCUUGGCUCACUGCUAACUAUUAAGUGGAUUCAACACUACCGUCUCAGCUGAAGAAAUUCAGAGAGAAGAACGUCAUCAGUUAAGUGGGAGCCGAAAAUAAAGCAGUGGUCCAGGUCUCCCUGGAGACCCAGGUCUCUCUCAACCUGAAGAAAAGAUGCAUCAGCCAUUUCCAGGGUAGAGAGAUGUGCAACAAGAAAGGCUGGGCCUCCAAGAUGUCUUCCUGUCUUUCAAUACUUAGUAUCAAUAACGUUCAAUAGAACAUUUGAAAUUCGAAACAGAGUAGAAAAUGUGGUGGAGUUGGAAGAAAGAAACCAAAUAGAUUCACAGUUAAAGUAGCAAUGCCAACCAAUGAAAAUGAUUUGCCUACCAUGUUCCAGAUAAGAGGGCGUACCUUCCGAGGG